rnacentral:rRNA from 1 species
UACGGAGGGUGCAAGCGUUAUCCGGAUUCACUGGGUUUAAAGGGUGCGUAGGCGGCUUGCCAAGUCAGUGGUGAAAGCCCCGCGGCUUAACCGUGGAAUUGCCAUUGAAACUGGCUGGCUCGAGUAUGAUUGAAGUGGAUGGAAUACAUCAUGUAGCGGUGAAAUGCUUAGAUAUGAUGUAGAACACCAAUUGCGAAGGCAGUUCACUAAGUCAAUAACUGACGCUGAGGCACGAAAAGCGUGGGGGAUCAAACAGGA